GGGAAGCCAACCACCAUGUUAGGAGGAUGCUCAAGCAGCCCUGUGAAGAGGACCACAUGGGAAAGAAACCGAGGCCUCCUUCCAACAGCCAGCACCAAGUUACAAACCAUCAUUGAAACAAGGUAUGCUUAAUGAUGACAACAGCUCCGAACUGAGGGCUCCAGGCCAGAGUGCUGCACCCACCUGGAUUCAUCCUCAUGUGGAAGUCAUUCAUGCCUUCUUUCUUGGCCUUUUCCAAACCUAGUCACUAUGAGGAAACGAAGACCUCAUGGUGAGGCGUACAAAUAAAAGAGCUGGAUAAAACUCAGGUCCUGACUCCCGAUCUUCAACUUUACCCAGGGAUGAUAGUCAGGAGAUGUAACAACCGUGCCCCGCAAGGUGAGAGCAAUCAGAACAUGA